GCGGGAUGCGGCGCGCCGCGCGUGAACCUCCUUGGCCUGGGCGAAGCUGUGUGGACCAAGCAAGCCAGGAGUGUGGCCAUGUUUUCUGAGCAGGCUGCUCAGAGGGCCCACACUCUACUGUCCCCACCAUCAGCCAACAAUGCCACCUUUGCCCGGGUGCCAGUGGCAACCUACACCAACUCCUCGCAACCCUUCCGGCUAGGAGAGCGCAGCUUUAACCGGCAGUAUGCCCACAUUUAUGCCACCCGCCUCAUCCAAAUGAGACCCUUCCUGGAGAACCGGGCCCAGCAGCACUGGGGCAGUGGAGUGGGAGUGAAGAAGCUGUGUGAACUGCAGCCUGAGGAGAAGUGCUGUGUGGUGGGCACUCUGUUUAAGGCCAUGCCGCUGCAGCCCUCCAUCCUGCGGGAGAUCAGCGAGGAGCACAACCUGCUCCCCCAGCCUCCUCGGAGUAAAUACAUACACCCAGAUGACGAGCUGGUCUUGGAAGAUGAACUGCAGCGUAUCAAACUAAAAGGCACCAUUGACGUGUCAAAGCUGGUUACAGGUAGGGAGCCCAAUGAGGGGAUGAGGGUGAUGCAGGGACCGUCCUGGCUGUGUUUGGCUCCGUGAGAGACGACGGGAAGUUUCUGGUAGAGGACUAUUGCUUUGCUGACCUUGCUCCCCAGAAGCCCGCACCCC
rnacentral:sRNA from 1 species